rnacentral:pre_miRNA from 1 species
GUUAUACUCCCUUCGUCCCAAAAUAAAUGUCUCAACUUUGUACUAGAGCUAGUACAAAGUUGAGACAUUUAUUUUGGGACGGAGGGAGUAUGUU